rnacentral:rRNA from 1 species
UGCAAGUCGAGCGAAUGGAUUAAGAGCUUGCUCAUUAUGAAGUUAGCGGCGGACGGGUGAGUAACACGUGGGUAACCUGCCCAUAAGACUGGGAUAACUCCGGGAAACCGGGGCUAAUACCGGAUAACAUUUUGAACCGCAUGGUUCGAAAUUGAAAGGCGGCUUCGGCUGUCACUUAUGGAUGGACCCGCGUCGCAUUAGCUAGUUGGUGAGGUAACGGCUCACCAAGGCAACGAUGCGUAGCCGACCUGAGAGGGUGAUCGGCCACACUGGGACUGAGACACGGCCCAGACUCCUACGGGAGGCAGCAGUAGGGAAUCUUCCGCAAUGGACGAAAGUCUGACGGAGCAACGCCGCGUGAGUGAUGAAGGCUUUCGGGUCGUAAAACUCUGUUGUUAGGGAAGAACAAGUGCUAGUUGAAUAAGCUGGCACCUUGACGGUACCUAACCAGAAAGCCACGGCUAACUACGUGCCAGCAGCCGCGGUAAUACGUAGGUGGCAAGCGUUAUCCGGAAUUAUUGGGCGUAAAGCGCGCGCAGGUGGUUUCUUAAGUCUGAUGUGAAAGCCCACGGCUCAACCGUGGAGGGUCAUUGGAAACUGGGGAGACUUGAGUGCAGAAGAGGAAAGUGGAAUUCCAUGUGUAGC